rnacentral:tRNA from 1 species
CUUUAGAUGGCAGAUUAGUGCCUUGAAUUUUUAAUUCAAUUAUGAAAUAACUUAUUUUCUCUAGAGA